ACCACAAGAACGCGUGGAGCAUGUGGCUUAAUUUGACUCAACGCGGGAAAUCUUACCGGGUCCGGACACACUGAGGAUUGACAGGCAAUAUCUCAUGGUUAUUAACCCGGUUAUUACAUUUUGUUUAAUCGGUUAUUAAGCAUCGAGUGUUAAAUAUGCUAUCCUUUCAUGAUUAUGUGAUAGGUGGUGCAUGGCCGUUCUUAGUUCGUGGAGUGAUCUGUCUGCUUAAUUGCGUUUCACUAAGG
rnacentral:rRNA from 1 species